CGAGCUCGCAGAGGCAGCGGCGGCGGCGGCGGAGACGGAGAGAGGCAGGCAGGCAGGGCGAGGGCGAGAGACGGAGGGAGGGAGCGAGCGAGGCGGACCAGACAGACAGACAGGCGGGCAGGCGGGCAGGCAGAGCGAGCCACCCGCCAGGCUGCGCUCAACCCCGCGCGCAGCGAAAAAGAGCAGAAGGCAGGAGGAGGGAGGGGAGGAGGGAGGAGGGAGGGAGAGGGAAUCCAGCUACCACCACCCAAAGCCAGCGUCUGCUUUCUGUCCUCAUUUCCUUUUCCCACCCAGCUCGGAGAGCAGAGAAAGGCAGAGAGAGCGAGAAAUAGAGACAGGCAGGCAAACAGACAGACAGACAGAACGGGAGGGAGGAGGGCGGCGGAGGAGGAACAGGAGGACUACGCGGGGCGCGUUCCCUCCCAGCAGCCGUGCGCCCGCGUCGCUGCCGCCGCGGGAAGACAGACGCCCCCCAAAGCCCCUCGCCUGGCUCGGACUCACGGAGCCAGCAGCCCAGCACUCCGAUGGGAGCUUGCCUGAUUGUCUACCCAUCAACCUGGACCCCAGAGCCUGCCCAGCUGAGUGUGUGCAGAGGGUCCCAGGUGAGGGGCGCUGCUCAGGCCUCUGCAGAGACCACCCUGGAGACACUGACAGAGAGAGGCCUUUCCUACUGAGCCUGGCCUCUCUGCACAGCCUGUUCAGAAAGAAGAACUGAGGCUCAUGGAUAUACACUAAGCCCCCCUCCCCCAAUCCUGCCACCUAGCCUGAGGACUCUUCCCUGCACCUUGAUAACCUGAGAGAACUGGGAGGAGAAAGGGGUUGUGACAAUGACCAGGACUCAGGGCAGAGGUGGAAACAAGUGUGCCUGAUGUAUGCAGCUGAUCCCCCAGGACAUCUCUCUACUGGAGUCUGGAAGCAGAGAGCUGGGAGGCCAAGGCGCUGUCCACGGCCCGAGGCCUGGACUCAGGCCGAAGUUGCUCUGCAGCAUCCCCAGCUGACAGCCAGCGAUUGGCAGAGCCCCCAGACACGGGGGGCCCUCUCACUCCCAGAGAUCUCCAGUGUGACAGCCCAGGCGGCAGAGCCGAGGGUCCUGGUCCCGGCUUCUCGCACCCUCAUGUCAGCCCCGGCCCCGCCCGGCGGCCCGCAGAGGACAAGGUCAGGAUGCGUGUGAAGCCCCAGGGCCUGGUGGUGACUUCCAGUGCCGUGUGCAGCUCUCCUGACUACCUCCGGGAGCCCAAGUACUACCCCGGCGGCCCCCCCGCCCCCCGGCCCUUGCUUCC
rnacentral:lncRNA from 1 species